AUGCAGAAGGAGUUGAAUCUCAGGCAAAGGAGAUGGUUGGAGCUCAUUAAGGAUUAUGAUAUGAGAUUGCAUUAUCACCCAGGGAAGGCUAAUGUAGUAGCUGAUGCGUUGAGCCGCAAGAGCCAUGUUAACACCCUCAUGACCGGAGAGUUACCGAAAUUAUUAGCCGAGGAUCUUCGCGAGCUAUCUUUGGAGAUAGUUCCAAGAGGCUAUUUAGCAACGUUGCAGAUUCAGUCUACCUUGAUGGAAAAGAUCAGGGAAGCUCAGAAGACAGACAAGGAGAUUGCAGAAAUAAAGGAAAGGAUGAGCAAAGGAAAAGCCAAGGGAUUUCGUGAGGAUGAGCAUGAUACCUUAUGGUUUGAGGACUGCGUUUAUGUGCCCAAUGAUCCGGAGAUCAGGAAGUUGAUCUUGCAAGAGGCCCAUGAUUCACCGUAUUCGAUUCACCCAGGAAAUACCAAGAUGUAUUUGGAUUUGAAGGAUACUUUCUGGUGGACUGGAAUGAAGAAAGAUAUUGCGGAGUAUGUAGCAGUUUGUGAUGUAUGUCAGAGAGUGAAGGCAGAGCAUCAGAAGCCAGCAGGAUUGCUACAGCCAUUGCCGAUACCCGAAUGGAAAUGGGAUAAACUAGGCAUGGAUUUUAUCACGGGAUUGCCCAGGACUCGUUCAGGCUAUGACUCAAUAUGGGUUGUAGUCGAUCGUUUGACGAAGGUAGCUCAUUUCAUCCCAGUGAAGACCACUUACACCAGUGCUAAGUUGGCAAAGAUAUACAUGACCAGGAUCGUAUGUAUGCAUGGAGUUCCGAGGACCAUUGUAUCAGAUAGAGGAACCCAGUUUACUUCAAAGUUUUGGAAUCAGUUACAUGAAACUUUGGGUACCAGGCUAGAGUUCAGUACAGCCUUUCACCCACAGACAGACGGACAUAUCGAGAGAGUCAAUCAGAUUUUGGAAGAUAUGCUGAGAGCUUGUGCGCUAGAUUAUGGAUCUAGUUGGGACGACAAUUUGCCGUAUGCAGAGUUUUGUUACAACAACAGUUAUCAAUCCAGUUUGAAGAUGGCCCCUUUCGAAGCUUUGUACGGAAGGAGGUGUAGAACACCCUUGUUCUGGAACGAAGUUGGAGACCACCAGUUGUUUGGACCAGACUUGAUUAAGGAAUCUGAACGGAAAGUGAAGUUGAUUCGCGAUAGGCUCAAAGUAGCCCAGUCCAGGCAGAAGAGUUAUGCAGACUCUAAACGCAAGGAGACAGUUUACGAAGUUGGAGACAGAGUUUACCUACGAGUAUCACCAUUUCGAGGAGUUAAGCGCUUUGGAGUUAAAGGAAAGUUAGCGCCACGUUUUGUAGGACCAUACAAAAUUUUGGAGCGUAUGGGAGAAGUUGCUUACAAACUGGAAUUGCCUGAAGGAUUGUCAGGAGUUCAUGAUGUAUUUCACGUUUCCCAGUUGAAGAAGUGCCACGCAGGGAUGGCUGAGAUACCAUUGAGAGAUACGGUGCCAUUGGAAGCGAUUCAGCUGGAUAGUGACUUGACCUAUGAGGAGAAACCAGUUAAGAUUCUUGAGUAUGCCAGCCGAGUCACCCGCAGCAAGGUUAUCAAGUUUUGCAAAGUUCAGUGGAGUCACCAUACCGAGGACGAAGCCACCUGGGAUCGAGAGGAAGAUCUACGGAAGGACCACUAUCACCUAUUUUCUAGCCAACAAGAAUCUCGAGGGCGAGAUUCAUCUUAA
rnacentral:rRNA from 1 species